UUCCUAGAACUCUUUUCUGAACUAAUAAUGGUGCCAUAAUGUUUCAUUUAACAGCGGAAACAUAGGAGAAUAACAUUCUUUAAUAACUUGGAAUUUUAAAUUAGAUUCUGAAUGUUUAUUAAAGCUAUUAAUAGUCAAUGAAUAAAUACUCUGUGUAGAGUCCUAUACUCAAAGAGUGAACCAAUGGUUGAGGAAAAGAAAGAAACUUGAGUGUUAAAUGCCUGCUAAGUGAAAGGGAUAGUCAAUUCCAAACAGGGAAAUAAUCAUUUCCAGAUGGAGAUGGUGAGAGGAUUCAAGGAGGGUGUGAGAUAUCUGUUGGCCGUUGGAGGGUAUACAGAUUUGGAGAAGAGUAAGCAAGUUGUUUCACAUGAGAGAGACCGAUGCAUCAGAGACUAGAAAAUGCACAAAUUGUACAGAGGACACAAAGUUAGUGUAGGAGAGUAGUAGGAAUCACAGCUUGAAAGUUAGGAUAAACCAGAUUUUGGAAGACUAAACCAAAUUAAGGCCUUACCCUGUAGUUAGAAGAGCUGUUCUAAGUGUUUGAGAUAGGGAAUGAAAUGGUGAAGUAAUGCUUCAGGAAGCUAAAACACUGUUAGUAAAUGGUAUCCGGAUAGAUGGAAAAGGGAGUGGUUGAAGAUAGAACAAUUGAUUAGAAAACUCUUUCACAUGCCUAAAAAACAAUGAGAAAAGUCUAAUAUGCAGUAGUGGGUACAGUAAUGGAAAGAAAAAAACACUGGGAAGAAGAAUCAAUAUAAUAUUGAGAUAUUAGAUGUGGGAAGUGAGGGAUACCUUAAGAUGACCUAUUCUGGUUUUGUGUAUGAUUUAGGACCUGAAUGCAGGGAGAACGGUUGCAUAGCAUGAUUGUAUAUGAGACAUCUGGCGAAUCAAUUGGUUUGGGGUUAGGGUGAAAAAAUAGUUUUUGUUUUAGGUGAAUUGCUCUUGAGGUAAUGGCAUGUCCUUUAAUAAGCAAUUGAAAGUGCAGGACUUGAUUUUAUAAGAGAGAUAGAGAGAGGGGUAGGGAGGAAAGGGGAUAGAGGGAGAGGGAGAAGAAAGUAAAAGAUCACAACUAGUAAUAAAGAUUUUGGGAUCAUCUGUAUGAAAGUAAUAGUUGAAGAAUUAAGUUGGGGAGGUAUAUAAGAUCACCGAAGGGCUUAGGAGUAGAAGAACAAAUAUCUUAGAUAUAACCUGUAGGACAGACUCACACUUAGGUGAUGAAAGACAGAGAGAAGGCAGUGAAGGAGACAGAAAAAAAAAAGCAGAGAAGAGAAUCAGAAUAUGGUGAAAUGACAGAAGUAAAAAAAGUAAAGUUUUAAGAAUGGUGGUGGUUGGCAGUAUCUAAUGCAACAGAGAGGCAAUGAAGAAAAAUACAUUGAUUUUGACAACUAGGAGUCUUUGGAGCCAAUUAAGAAUAAUUUUCAUAAAGCAGAAAUAGCAGAGCCAGAUUGAGAAAUACAGAGGGAGUGGCGCUUUUAAAGUGGAGGCAGCAGUAUGUAUAGUCCAUUUAAAUAAUUUGACUUGUGAAGAAAGGAAAAAAAAGUACUAGCAAGACAAGUCCCAGGGCCUUUCUCACCCCAUGGGCUUGCCCCAGGGAGAUCCAAUGUUUGUCAUAUAGAAUUUCCAAGUAUAUGUCAAUACCUUCCAGAGUUAUAUCUCAACCCUAGACUUUGGUCCCUCACUCCCAUUUAUCAGUAACCACUUGGAUAUCAAAUAGACCCUUCAACAUCUAAAAGUAAACUCAUGAUCUACCCUACCUCCACCAACUACAAAAACAAAACAAAAUAGAAAUAAACUGAAAUGAAAAACCAGAUCCUCUUCCAGUGUUUUGUAUUUGAGUAAAUGACAUGAUAACGCUGCCCAGCUAUUCAUGCUAGAACCUUGGGGUUAUUUUCAAUACCCUCUUCUCUUUGUUCCUUUCACCUAACCUAUCAUCAAAUCUUGUGGACAUAUUUGUCUGCAUGUCCACUGUCUGCCCUCCUGGAAGCCACUAUCAGCCUCUGAUAUCACUACCUGGACUACUUUCUAAGUAGUCCCCUUGCAUCUGCUCUUACUACCCAUAGCAGCCAGGAUGAUUCUUAAAAUCUGCAAAUCUGAUUGCUGUAACUCUUUUGUUUAACACCUUCCAAUGGCCUCUUGUUUUCUUUAAGCCAAGCAACUUUGUUAGAAUGGAGCAACUAACUCUAUGGGGGAAUUAGGAAAAGCUCGCUAAGAAAUUGUCAUAUGAAUUGUCCAUAAGAGUUUGCAAGUGAAGAAUAGUGUUAGGGCAGACUAGGGGGUGAGGGUGACAGAGAUCAUUCCAGGUUGGGCAAUAUCAUGUGCCAAGGUAGGAAGUCAGGUGCUCAGAAAAGGAGAAUAAGUUCUGGGUAUUUUCAGAUGUCAGGAGGUAAGGGGUAGCUAUUUGAAGCUGAAGUGUGAAAACCUCUUUGUGUUUGGGUUUUAUGAAGGUUUUAAAACAAGGGAUUAUGUAAAGAGCCAGGUUUUUCUUUUUGCUGGAUAACCGUAUAGUAGAGGGAAAGUAGACUGGAAUGCUUGAAGGGCAGAGAGCAGGGAGAGCAGUUCAGAGCCUGUUGCAAUGACCCAAGAAAGGUGACAGAAUCCUAGGCAAAGUCCAUGGUGCUGGAGAGGAGGGAGUCAGGACAAUUUAAAGCUGGAUCAGCACAAGUAGUGCAACAUUUGAGGGUAUGUCUCCUUGAAUGUUGUUAUUGUGAGUAGGUUUAUAUGCAAAGCCGGGGUCUGUAUGUUAUUCUGUGAUCCAAGUUUGUAGAGUCUAUUAUUUUUGUGAUAUGUACAAUGUCCCGGAAGCAAAUUUAACGAUCAGUUUGUCCUGAUUAAUUAAGCCCAGUAAAUACAUUUUUAAGAAUUCAGACACCUGGGUUCUCCUCUAUAAGGUUUUCUGAUCUUGGUGAAGUCAUAUAGCUAGUCUGGGGCUUAAAGCCCUCAUUUGUAAAACGUGGUGUUGACAUUAGGUGAUCUCUGAGGUUCCCUUCCAGUUCCUUGAUUCCACUGUCAAUUUCUAGGGUUUCUCUAAUUUAGUUGAUUGAUUUGAAUCUUACCAGCAGGGAGCAGACUCCUCCACAGUUUCUUGAGGGCAUAGCUACCUCCUUAAAGGACUGAUGGUCUGGCGGGUAUUCUGAGUAGCAUUCCUAGACCCACCUUAUCUUGGAAAACGCAUUACGUUUACAGUCUUUUUAGGGUACUUCUCCAAUCUCCAACAGCUUGGUAUUAAGAAAAAAAAUCUUUGAGUUAAAGAAAGCUGUGUGUGAUGAAUUAAUUAUUUUACUUGGUAUGUUUUCUUCUCUACCCAGCCCUGCCUCUACCAGGAGAAGUUUACAUGUAGAUUCAUUGUCAAAUCUUUCUAAACUUUGGAUUUCAAGACGUUUUGUAGACUAAUGACUCUUUCUAUAUUUUUAAGUAUAAUCAAUUUGUAGAAGAUUAGAGAUAUAUAAUUUAACUUAACAAAUCUUAAGCUUCUACCAGGUAUUGUGGAGAGGAAGAAGAAUGGGGAAAAGAAUGUACGAAGAUAAAUAAGGUACAAUUUCGGCUUUUAAGGAAGUAUAUUGUUUAAUAGGGGAGACUGGAGUAUAAACAACUACUUCAUGUUGUACAUGAAAAGGGUAGUAUAAGCAGAAAGAAGCACUGAGAAUACGAUGAGUACAAUUCUGUACUCACAGUUGCAAAUUCGAAUAAUUGUCUUCUGGUAUGUAGCAUUCCUAAGUUCUGCCUGGACAGGUAAAUGUUAAUGAGUGUCACUCAGGUCUUGGGUGUAAAGUAAUUGAUCUGCCUGUCCUUGGCAAAUGUAUACAAAGGGUUUUACUCUAUCUCAUUAGCCAACUUAGAUAUAGCAUAUUGUUCAUGCAAGAGCUGCACAAAGGACUUACUGAAAAUGGUUGAUUGGUUAUAAAUAGACCUUGUUGAAAUUUUUGGCAGGGUCGAGAUGAAAGCUUUUAUGAAGUUAUGACACUGUGGCAGCAUAUUGUCAACUGUUGCAGUAGUAGUCAAAUCAUUAGAAAAUCACAUCAACAGAGUUAGGGUACUCCUUAGCAGACAGGCAUGCUGGCAUAAACAAGUUAUCAAGCUGCAGACUAAACUGAAGAUCUAUAAAAGAAUGAUGCUUUACACACAUUCUGUGGGUAUUGCAUUUGCUAUGUACAUCAUAUCUGAUUUCUGGAUGAGUCUCAUUUUUAGAUUUUCUGUGUUGAAUUUAACAAAAAAGUGACAAGAGUAGAUAUCUAAAUAUAGGGCAUUUAUGUCAUUCAAAGUGCUUGCUAAAGUGUUCUUGUUCAUUGUCACUCAUCUGAAAGAUCACUAUGUUUUCUAGGGCUGAAAGGUGUUCUUUCCUGUUUGUCUUUGUACAUUUUUUCUACUUAACACAUCAGAUGACAGAAAUCAGAACACUGAGGAUAAGUAAUUGUAGGUGCUUUGAAUAAACGUUCAGGUUUAAAGAGUGUAAGAAAGCUAAUAAGCCAGGAAGUAUUUUUGGACUGGAGUGGGUUGGGAUAUAAACUUCAGCUAAUUAUGAAAGCCUUUGAAAAGUUUGAUUGUUUAAUAUAGGGAUAAAUCUGUCAAAACUGUGAUAAAAGUUCUGAUCCUACAGUAAUGUCACCAGGUUUUGAGUAGGAGCAAUCCUGCAAAUAACUCUCAAGAUGUGUAACCGGCAUGAGGCCAUGGAAAAUCUAAGCCACCCAAAAGACACAGUGAGAAGACAGCACCUAUGAACCUGGAAGUGCGAUCUCAUAAGAUACUAAAUCUGCCGGCACCUUGAUCUUGGACUUCGAGCCUCCAGAACUAAUCUCUGCUAUCAAGAGAAGAGUUGGCCCUGAGAUCUUUUCCACAGACAUUGCCCAGUGCCUCUCAUAGGGAUUCUGCCAAGCGAAAUUCCCACAUCAGUAUAUGAAUACCAUCUCCUCCUACUAUCAAACUUGUUUUUUCUCAUCUGGUAAGUGAAAAUUAGCAUCUCAUUGUAGUUUUUCUUUUCACUUAAAAAUUAAUUUGUAUUUUUGUCUUUAUUUUUUCUGUUAUCUGUUCAUGAUCUUAGCUCACUUUUCUUAUUGAUUUUUAUGUGUUUUAUAUAUUCAUAAAAUGCAUAGAAUUUUAUAUUUUAGGAA